rnacentral:misc_RNA from 1 species
GAGACAUUAACCAACGACAAGAAACAUAUCUCAGAGACUCAAAACGGUUUGUGCCCCUCUCUCUUCGCCACACACGUACGCACACACGCGAAGCACGCACAAAUAAAUACCACAGGGACAGACAGAGAGAGAGAAAGGCAGAGUCUUUGAAGACAAAACUGUUUUCUUUUUUGAGGGUCUGGAUUGGUUUUUGCAGGUGAAAAAUGGAAGCUAAAGAGGAAGUUAUUUCCGUUGAGCUCCCUGCUCCUCCUGCUUGGAAGAAAAUGAUGGGCAGAGCUUUUGACAAGAUUAAAGUGAAGCAUCAUUUUUGCGAUUAUGAAGUUUAACAAAUUUUGAAACAAGCUGAUAAAUUAAACUUCUAAAAUUCAAACAAAUAGAGGAUAAUAGGCCAUUGAUAUUGUUUAUAGGAUAGACCUUUUAGAAGGAGAUAUUUCUCCCAGUUUUCGAGGAUACAGACUACUUCUGUGUAGUUUCAAUUUCAAAUCAUAGUACUGAAAGUAUUUGCCAAAGAGAGCAGGUACACCAAGGAAGAGUGAAAUCAUGUUUAUUGCUCCAACUGGCGAAGAGAUUAAUAACAGGAAACAGAUGGAGCAGUACCUAAAAUCACACCCUGGUAAUCCUGCGAUAUCAGAGUUUGAUUGGGGAACUGGUGAGACACCCAGGAGAUCAGCGAGAAUCAGUGAGAAGUCCAAGGCAACUCCAACUCCGGAUAAGGAGCCCCCAAAGAAGCGAGGCCGAAAAUCGUCAGGUUCAAAGAAGGAUAGCAAGGAAACAGAAACUACUCCUGAAAAAGGCGAAGGUGAGAAAGAAGUCCAAAUGCAAGAUGCAGAGGAAGCUGGGAAGGAAAAUGAAGAGGCAGGCAAAGAGAAUGACGUUACCAAGGAAAAUCAGGUCCAGGAAGGAGAUAAAAAAGAAUCUGUUCAGACAAAGAAUGCUGAGAAUGCAGGAGCUGAGAAUGCCCAGCUCGCAAUGGAAGUUCAAGAGCAGGAAAAUGCAGAUGCAUCACUGAAGAACAAACCUGCCAAAGAAGCUGAUUCUGGUGAAGGCUCCGCAGGAAAGAUGCCACAAACUGAGAUUGAGAAAGAGACUUUCUCAGGUGAGAAGGAUAUCCCAGAUGCUGUAACUGUGGAAGCAAAUGAAGGAGCAGAGAAAGGGAAUGCUAAUGGUCCUAAUGGAACUGUUCCUGCAUCUGAGGGAGAGGUUAAAGAGAAACCAGGUAUUCAGGAGAAUGAUGUUAAGUGUAACAUCUCUGUAGAUGGAAAAGCCAAUACAACAGAUGGCGAAAUCACAGAAAAUGGUAAGGAUAGCCAAACAGGGCAAACUGAUGCUCCUCAAAAUCCAGCUCCUCCUGUGAGCUGCUGAAUGUACUGCACUACUGCCCAUAAUCUGUAGUUCUCUUGUCAUAGCGCUGCCUAUUUUAGUUCUGGUGACUUUUUGGAUUCUGUGGAUGACUGUAACAUUAGCAUUGUAACUGCUAGAUGUCAUUAUAUGUCGAUACUAGAUUUUAAUGUAUGUAGGUAAAUUAUGUUUCACAUCAGAUUAGGUCGUAGUUGCUGCAGCUUUUAUUACAUUGUGCAGGAUCUCAAGAUUGUAGACUUUUGAACUGUCCUCAACUGUUAUGGGUAGCUUCUAAACUAAAUAUUAUUUGCUUUGCUGCUGCUUUAUUUUGUGUUAUGGUGCCAUACGUCUGCGUUUAGGCACUGCCGCCUGGGAUUCAAGUAUGAUGAUGGAUGCAGGCAAGAAAGUAGAGACUGAAGUUGCAAAGAAUGGUAACUUUAGAAGGUUACUUGAAUCAAGGAAUUUUGCUCUUAUUUGUACAUUUAGGAUCUCUGACACUAAAAAAAUUGCCCAUUUAUCACUUUGCCUCUCAAAGAGAUCGUGGAAGACCAUAUGGCCAAUAUUGUUUGAGUGUUUUUUUUGGAUUUUCACUGUUAUUCAAACUCAUUGAUUGUGCUGUUUUUUCAAGAAUGAGUGCAGGUGUGCUGUCGUUGUAUUCUACCAUAAUCAUGCUGAAGCUUAAGGGAAAAUACAAUUACUUCUAUACUCAACUCAAUUAAGC